CACUCUUGAAUAUUUGUAGCUUCAUGCUGUACCCUCAAGACCACAUUCACCAAUGAAUCAUACACGUGUUUUGGUUAGAACCCAACAACUUUCCUUAGUUUGGCUAAAAACUAUUGUCUUGUGAUUAUACUAAUUAUGCACAGGUAUUAGAACAGCAUUGCUGGAGUCUGAGGAAUUUACAUGCCCAGCGUGUCAUCAGACAGAUGUUUCUCCUGAUGCUUUAGCUGCCAACCAGAGCCUACGCCAGGCUGUGAACAACUUCAGAAAUGGAGCUGGCUACACAAAAAGGCUCCGUAAGCAGAUUCAGCAGCAGCAGCAGCCGCCGCCACCACCUGCAGCACCACUCACGACUGUUAUCCCUCCUGCUGCUUUGGUGACUGCCGCUGAACUGCCUCCAUCUUCCUCUCUGUCAAUCCGCAGCUUGUUGGAAGAGAAGGGCUCUCAAGUUCCUGUACGAAGACAGCUAGCGCUACCAAGUCUUCUGGGCUCCCAAGGGCAAUCGGUACCCACAGCUGGUAAGUAAUGAUAGCUUUAGAACUUGUGUUAAAAAAUUACCUUCAGAUAAGCUGAAUGGGUCUUUUUACUUUUUCUUCUCCCCUCUCCAAAAGGUCCUCCGAGGGCAGACAGUACCAU